AUUGUGUCUUGUAGGUGCUGGCAGCUCUUGAGUCCAUGACGCUGAGUAAGCAGUAUGUGGAGUACCAGGACCAGAUACUGCAUGCUGUCCAGUUUAUAAGACAUCCUGGCCACUGCCUUCAGAACGGGAAAAGCUUCCUGGCCUUUUUUGUUAACCGUCUCUACCCAGAAGUGCAUUAUCUGGACAACAUCCGGUAGUGGGCAGAAGCCCGAGAAGCACCGCGUUGCCCCUGUGUUUACAUUACCUGUGCUCUUGUGCAUGUAUCUUUGCUAUUUCACCACAGAGCUCAGUUCUGCCUGCCCCAACUGAGGUGCAGGGCAGGCAUCAGGUAGUCUGGGUGUAUGUGUAUUGUCUCUUACUGCCCAGCGGCCAUUUUAGUGCGAAUGCCCUUCCUCAAGGACAACUCAGUUGCCCUGCGUACAGAACCACUCACAUCUCGGGGCUGUGCCAAUCAGCUCCCUAAGAACAACAACAGAUGGAGCUUUUGGUAUGUCUGCACUUCCGUCUCCCUGCUUUGUUUAAAUGUCAGGACUCCUGUGCCAGAUCUGACCUCUGUGGGAGGCAUGAAGAGCCCUCUUUGGACUCCAUUGUAGUCUUCCGAUGUAAACAUCCUGCAUUUCUCAAAUGUGGGAAAACACACCAGCUUAAAAGUAUUGUGUUACUGCUCUUAGAGUAAAGAUGAUACACUGGAUCAUUUCAGGAGUGG
rnacentral:lncRNA from 1 species